rfam:Oryza sativa Japonica Group DNA, chromosome 1, cultivar: Nipponbare, complete sequence.
UUUAAGUGCAACUAUAAGUUUUCGUGCCAAAAACUUUAAUCGUCUGUCUUAUUUGAAAUGUUUUUAUAAUUAGUAUUUUUAUUGUUAUGAGAUGAUAAAUAAGAUAGACGAUCAAAAUUGGGCACGGAAAAUCAUGGCUGCACUUAAA